rnacentral:rRNA from 1 species
CCUACGGGAGGCAGCAGUGGGGAAUAUUGGGCAAUGGGCGCAAGCCUGACCCAGCAACGCCGCGUGAAGGAAGAAGGCUUUCGGGUUGUAAACUUCUUUUGACAGGGAAGAGCAGAAGACGGUACCUGACGAAUAAGCCACGGCUAACUACGUGCCAGCAGCCGCGGUAAUACGUAGGUGGCAAGCGUUGUCCGGAUUUACUGGGUGUAAAGGGCGUGUAGCCGGGUUGACAAGUCAGAUGUGAAAUCCUGCGGCUUAACCGCAGAACUGCAUUUGAAACUGUUGGUCUUGAGUACUGGAGAGGCAGAUGGAAUUCCUAGUGUAGCGGUGAAAUGCGUAGAUAUUAGGAGGAACACCAGUGGCGAAGGCGGUCUGCUGGACAGCAACUGACGGUGAGGCGCGAAAGCGUGGGGAGCAAACAGGAUUAGAUACCCCUGUAGUC